UUGGGAUUGGCUAACUUCGGUUGGUACAGUGCUUGCCUCGCAUGCACAAGGCCCUGGGUUCAAUCCCCAGCAUCACAAA
rnacentral:tRNA from 1 species